CUCGGCAGUGCUUAGCCGUCGUCGUCCCGGUCGUGUUGGAGGACGACGAGCAGCUCUACUGAAGACAAGUGUUGCUGCGCCACAGUUCAGCUGAGGAAGUUUGUCAACUGCCAAGUGUACAUAUGUACAUACUUCUGUGGUUAAUCAGGGCAGCGUGCAACGGGACGACCACUUGCAAGUCAACACUCGCCGGAGCUGAACUGGGUGCGGACCUCACACUGGAUGAUUCCGACUAGUUGGUGUCAAACUGGUCAGUUGCUACCACCUCGUUUGCUCCUCCGCGGGCCGUUACCGCCAUAUGAAGCAGAGUAUUCAUCUACAGUAUUAUGCAAAGAAUCAUAAUGUACUGCUCUCCAUGACGCGGUGUGAAACGCAGAGGCGAAAGUAGAGGGCUGGAAACGGCGCAGACAAGAGCACUCUGGAUGCCGUACCCGCCGCGCAAAAGCUGUAUGGCUUGGCCCAUGUGGCGGGACGACCACCUCAGAGGACAAAAAAUACUGAGUCAGGAAGGAAACCCAUCCUGGCGACCCUGGGCGUAGGUCCCCCCCCCCCCCCCCCCCCCCCCCCCCCCC